UAUAGUUUAUUUGAUGGUCACUUCAGAUAUGGAUACCUGUGGUAAUUCUAGAGCUAAUACAUGCAUACAUGCCCGACUUCUUGGAAGGGCAGUAUUUAUUAGAUACAGAACCAAUCCCGCAAGGGUCUUUUGGUGAUUCAUAAUAAAUGAACGGAGCGUAAGGCAUGCGCCGACGCUGAAUCAUUCAAGUUUCUGACCUAUCAGCUUUCGACGGUAGGGUAUUGGCCUACCGUGGCAUUGACGGGUGACGGAGAAUUAGGGUUCGAUUCACGGAGAGGGAGCCCGAGAAACGGCUACCACA
rnacentral:rRNA from 1 species